UCUAAUAUGGCAGAUUAAUGCAAUGAACUUAAAAUUCAUUUAUAAAGAAUAAUCUUUUUUUAGAA
rnacentral:tRNA from 1 species